rnacentral:sRNA from 1 species
GAGGGUUGGUAGGGUUAGUGUGAUAUGCUCGGCCGAUGCUACCACGCUACUCUCAGCUUGGGGAAAUUCUCCAUGUCUCAACUAUGUGGUAACCACAUCGCGACAUUUGAACAUUCAUUCGACCUGAGGGAAAUACGCCGAGGCUGCUUGGACGCGAUUUUCGAUCUGAUUUGUUUGGCACAGUGGUAAGUGUGAGACUAAAAUAGUGGGGGAUAUCACUGCAGCAUUUUGGCCAGAUAGAUUAUUUUCUUACGUCAACGGUAUAUUGCCUGGACGAUGCAUAUGAUGCUGUUUAGAGACAUCCAUGUGUCAAUUUCAAAGCGACCCUGGAGGCAUUAGUAGCCCUUUGGCAAUUAGCGACCUUCACCACACCAUUUCCCACUCAUUAGAAAGUGUGUUAACAACCAAAAUUAUAAUGACCAGUACGUGUGGAUGUACUGUUGAUAUGAUCAACCGGAU